AGAAACCAGCAGAUCUCAAGAAGCAUUGUCUGCACCCACGGAGGUCACCAAUUCAGUGAUGUCUGUGGGUAGCAACUUGGUGCUGGAAAGCACAGAGGAAAACCAAAGUACUUCAAGAACUUCUCCAGAUGAUGGUGUUGUCCACAUCAAAGACACUGCUGUGCUGGCACAGGAAGGCAGAGACCCUGGGCAGGAUCCGGAGUCUGGGACAUGGAAGACAAUGCAGGAGAUGAAAUCGAUGACAAACUAGAAGAAAAUGUGACUGAUGAGGAGAAGGAGAGGUGAGUGCUGGAAAUCGGCUUCAUCAGUCGUCCCUGGAGGAUUGUCGACGGCAGUUUAAAUAAGCCAGUGUGUAAGGGAAUGCUGGAGGCCGUGCUCUUCCACAUCAUGACAAAGCCUGGGAUUCCUGUACAGACCCUAAUACAUCAUUACAAG